rnacentral:lncRNA from 1 species
GAAGACGUCGUGAGAGUUGAAGUCUCGGAGGUAGUGGAGGGUGGAAAAUGCAAACAGCCAGACCGGGGCUUGCAGGUGGAGAACAACCCAAGGAGGCGGAGUCCAAAAUGGACCUGGAUGCAAGUUCCUGGACGUGCCCAAGAACUGCCACCGGCUGGCCAGGUGAUCCCCAUCACCAAGCAGUGCGCCUUCAAGUGCAUUCUCUGGGGCUUCAGAAAGUGCUGCCCACGCGCAGGUGUGCGUCCUGGGGACUGCGGGACAGGAGCCAGUGGGAGUCAUCCUGCUGAGGCCGCUCCUCCUGUUCCCCUCCGCCGAGUCUUCCAGGAAGAACAGCUCGGGCCUAAAGCACCUUCACGAAUUUUUCAAUAUUCCAUUUUUGCAGCUUCAGAGGGAGAAAAAGCAGUUGGAGGUGGACUCCACGCUGGAGGAGCGGUGGUGCAGCAGGAGACUGAGGACCAGAAGCAUUGCACUUUCCUCCACGUGGGGGCUCCCAGCCGCAGCUCCGCGUCCCCGCUGGCGGCCAACAGGCAAAGCCGGUCCUUGGCCUCCCAGGA